rnacentral:rRNA from 1 species
AGGAAAAGAUAUUCCGUUAGUAGUGGCGAGCGAAAGCGGAUCAGGCCAGUGCUACUUUUUACUAAACCAGAACUGUAUGGAAAGGCAGGCCAUAGUGAGUGAUAGCCUCGUAUGGGUAGAUAGUAAAAAAUAGACAUGAGUAGGGCGGGACACGUGAAAUCCUGUCUGAAUAUAGGAAGACCACUUCCUAAGCCUAAAUACUACUUUAUGACCGAUAGUGAACCAGUACCGUGAGGGAAAGGCGAAAAGAACCCCUAGCAGGGGAGUGAAAUAGACCCUGAAACCGGAUGCUUACAAGCAGUUGGAGCCUCUUUAUGAGGUGACAGCGUACCUUUUGUAUAAUGGGUCAGCGACUUAAUCUCAUUAGCAAGCUUAAGCCACAUAGGUGUAGGCGAAGCGAAAGCGAGUCUGAAUAGGGCGAUUUAGUUAAUGGGAUUAGACUCGAAACCGAGUGAUCUAGUCAUGAGCAGGUUGAAAGUGAAGUAAAAUUCACCGGAGGACCGAACCCACUAGCGUUGAAAAGCUACGGGAUGACUUGUGAUUAGGGGUGAAAGGCCAACCAAACUCGGAAAUAGCUAGUUCUCCGCGAAAACUAUUUAGGUAGUGCGUCGUGUGAAUCUUGUCGGGGGUAGAGCACUGAAUGGGCUAGGGGGAAGCAAUUCCUACCAAACCUAAUCAAACUCCGAAUACCGAUAAGUCUGCACGGCAGACAGUCCAUGGGUGCUAAGGUCCUUGGACGAGAGGGAAACAGCCCAGAUCAACAGCUAAGGUCCCCAAAUAAUGAUUAAGUGUGAAAGGGAGUGGGAACUCCAAGACAGCCAGGAGGUUGGCUUAGAAGCAGCCAUCCUUUAAAGAAAGCGUAACAGCUCACUGGUCUAAUUAAGAGAUCCUGCACCGAAAAUGUAACGGGGCUCAAAUCAUUUACCGAAGCUUUGACAAUUACUUUGUAAUUGGGUAGCGGAGCGUUCUGUAAGCCUGUAAAGGUGAUGCGUAAGCAUUGCUGGAGGUAUCAGAAGUGCGAAUGCUGACAUGAGUAACGAUAAGAAAUGUGAAAGACAUUUCCGCCGAAAUCCUAAGGUUUCCUGCGUAAAGCUAAUCUGCGCAGGGUUAGUCGGCCCCUAAGGCGAGGGCGAAAGCCGUAGUCGAUGGGAAGCAGGUUAAUAUUCCUGCACCAGCUGGUAGUGACGGAUGAAGUAAAUUGUAAGCUCUUACUGGAUUGAGCUUGCAGUGAAUUUGUCCCUGGAAAUAGCUCCAGCAUUAGACCGUACCAAAACCGACACAGGUAGGAGGGUAGAGAAUACCAAGGCGCUUGAGAGAACUAUGUUGAAGGAACUCGGCAAAUUACACUUGUAACUUCGGGAUAAAAGUGACCUGCUAUUGGGCAACCAGUAGGAGGUGGCACAGAAGAGGGGGUAGCGACUGUUUACUAAAAACAUAGCACUAUGCAAAGUCGAAAGACGACGUAUAUGGUGUGACGCCUGCCCGGUGCCGGAAGGUUAAUAGGAGGGGUGCAAGCCCUGAAUUGAAGCCCCGGUGAACGGCGGCCGUAACUAUAACGGUCCUAAGGUAGCGAAAUUCCUUGUCGGGUAAGUUCCGACCUGCACGAAUGGCGUAACGAUUUCCCCACUGUCUCCAACAUAGACUCAGUGAAAUUGAAUUCUCGGUUAAGAUGCCGAGUAACCGUGGUUAGACGGAAAGACCCCGUGCACCUUUACUGCAGCUUUGUAUUGGUAUUAGGGAACAGAUGUGUAGCAUAGGUGGGAGACUUUGAAGGAGUGGCGCUAGCCAUUCUGGAGUCACUAGUGAAAUACCACUCUUCUGUUCCUUGAUGCCUAACCAUACACCGUUAUCCGGUGUUGGGACCAUGCAUGGUGGGCAGUUUGACUGGGGCGGUCGCCUCCCAAAGAGUAACGGAGGCGCGCGAUGGUAGGCUCAGAACGCUUGGAAACCGUUCGUCGAGUGCAAUGGCAUAAGCCUGCCUGACUGCGAGACCCACAAGUCGAGCAGAGACGAAAGUCGGUCAUAGUGAUCCGGUGGCACUUCGUGGAAGGGCCAUCGCUCAACGGAUAAAAGGUACGCCGGGG